rnacentral:rRNA from 1 species
GAUGAACGCUGGCGGCGUGCCUAAUACAUGCAAGUCGAGCGAACAGACGAGGAGCUUGCUCCUCUGACGUUAGCGGCGGACGGGUGAGUAAAACGUGGAUAACCUACCUAUAAGACUGGGAUAACUUCGGGAAACCGGAGCUAAUACCGGAUAAUAUAUUGAACCGCAUGGUUCAAUAGUGAAAGACGGUUUUGCUGUCACUUAUAGAUGGAUCCGCGCCGCAUUAGCUAGUUGGUAAGGUAACGGCUUACCAAGGCAACGAUGCGUAGCCGACCUGAGAGGGUGAUCGGCCACACUGGAACUGAGACACGGUCCAGACUCCUACGGGAGGCAGCAGUAGGGAAUCUUCCGCAAAGGGCGAAAGCCUGACGGAGCAACGCCGCGUGAGUGAUGAAGGUCUUCGGAUCGUAAAACUCUGUUAUUAGGGAAGAACAAAUGUGUAAGUAACUAUGCACGUCUUGACGGUACCUAAUCAGAAAGCCACGGCUAACUACGUG